rnacentral:lncRNA from 1 species
GGCAUAUACAUUUUUUUUGCAAGUUCUCUUUUGAACUGUUCAAACUAUUGAGCUGUCCUUAUAAUUUUCAAAUGUGAAGAGCUAAUGAAAUAUUUGCAAAAUGCUUUAGAAAAAUUCAACCCCUAAUCUCCAUAACAGCCCUAGUAGGAGGACCCAGUUAUCAUCCCCUUCAUGAAAGAGGAAGCAGAAACCUGGAAAGGUUGCAUGGCAUCGUAUGCAACUGAUUGGUGGCAGCCACUGCUUAGAGCACAGAGGUCUUGACUUGCAGGAAUGUUGUUCAUCCUUUGGGCCCUAAAGAAUGAGAUUUCUUAAUAAGCCCAUGAGUCAUGGAGAAGAGGCACAGACUGACUAUGAUUUUACUAGGCUGUUUCCACUGCAUCUCAUUGAUGGCUUAAAUCAUCUUAGUGCCGCUGAACCCUUUUCAGCAAUAAAAUAAAAAGUGUAUUAAGUGCUAAAUUCUGCCCAUAACUGGUAUUUCUCAUUGACUGCAAGUUUAUGGAAGUUGUCAACUUCAGAGACCAACUUAUAUGAAGGCAAUCCAGCCUCUGUAGGUAGAUGAAUUGAUGUAGUCAGAAAUGAUGGGGAUAAAAUUAACAAAUUUACCAAUCUUUUGGAGCUGAGGCUACAAUUGCCAGUUUUUAUACUCCAGCACCAUCUCCCUACAAAACUCUAGAGUUGAAGCAUUCAUCAUUCUCACCUUCAGACACUGUUACCUAGAUACCUCAGUUUUAGUUACAAGCUUGAGAUCACCAUAGCAACCAAUUAGUAUUUAUGUUGCUAAGACAGGAUGCAGAGAAAGGGGAAAGUAGGAUGUGCUUACUCAUUUUUAUGUGAUCUCAAUGGAGAAAGGAUAAAAUGCUGAUUCCAGUUUCCAAAUUCCCAUUGACUUCUCCUAUCCUAAUUUAUAUUCACAUUUGUCUUUUCCACAAGUAAUCCACUUAAUGGCCAAGCACUUAUGGUGUUGGAGGCAGAUGAACUGCAGACCUAUAUAUUAGUUGGAACUCAGGCCAGCCGGCUUUACUUUAAGAGGAAAGAAAUCAACUUAGAACCUUCUAGAUGGAAACUUUGCCCUUUUGCUGCUGCCUUUCCUCUUAGAAAACAAGUUAAAAGUUGGCAGAUGUUCAGUGUUCAUGUAGAGCCAGUGCGGCCUCCUUGUCCUUCAAGUCUCAACCUGACCUUUACAGUUCCAUGUUCUCCUGCAUGA